UUUGUCUUCUGUGCACAUCCAGGAUUUUGCACUUGAGGGAGGACACGGUGUUAGAAGGCAACCAUGCAGAAGAGCUUCUGCAGCUCUCCAAAAACACAGUGGAGGAAUAUUAUGUGGCACCACCAGGAAAUAUUCCCUUACCAAAGAGGGAGGAGCGGACUGCCAUGCUGAAACAUUCUGAAUUCUGAAGAUUUGGAACUUGUUUUUCAGACUAAGGAAUACUGUCAUCAUUAGCUUUGAUUUAUUUUCUCAGUACGUCGAUAUAUGAAGUUGGUCACGGCUAAUAUGAUGAGCUGGUUGUAAUGCAUGUCGUUGAUUUUCAGUUUGUUGCAAAAAUGCAAGUACUUUGUCGCUGCUUGAUGAAGAAAUGAAAAGAGUAGUUUGUUUGACUAAUAGUGAUGUCUUGUUUGAUAUACAGUAUCUAUU